AUACUUACCUGGCAUGGGACGUAUCAUGAUCAAGAGGGUGGUUUGUCUGGAUGUGCUAACCACUAUGAUUUCCCCAAAUGGAGGAAACUCACUGCAUAACUGUGGGGUUGGGGGACUGCAGUCACACAUUCCCUUG
rnacentral:snRNA from 1 species